UACGGAGGGCGCAAGCGUUGUUCGGAAUUACUGGGCGUAAAGCGCGCGCAGGCGGGAAGGUAAGUCUGGAGUGAAAUUCCGGGGCUCAACCCCGGAACUGCAUUCGAUACUGCUGCGCUAGAGUACUGGAGAGGAGAUUGGAAUUUACGGUGUAGCAGUGAAAUGCGUAGAUAUCGUAAGGAAGACCAGUGGCGAAGGCGGGUCUCUGGACAGUUCCUGACGCUGAGGCACGAAGGCCAGGGGAGCAAACGGG
rnacentral:rRNA from 1 species